UUGAGCGUCAAACUUUUAAAUUGAAGAGUUUGAUCAUGGCUCAGAUUGAACGCUGGCGGCAGGCCUAACACAUGCAAGUCGAACGGUAACAGGAAGCAGCUUGCUGCUUCGCUGACGAGUGGCGGACGGGUGAGUAAUGUCUGGGAAACUGCCUGAUGGAGGGGGAUAA
rnacentral:rRNA from 1 species